UAUGAAUAAUUUUUGUUGCUAGUUGUACGAUCGAUGUGUAUGACAAGCCGCCCAUAGGCCGGGACAAGUGCAAUGUUUGUUCAAAAUGUAAAACGUUGACACCUUCCCGUCCUACGGGCAAUCUCUAUGGUAUUUCGAGUAGUACUGUAGUCUUGUCCUACAGGAUAUGCAUAUAAAGAGCAGAGGAAUAUAAAGUUUCAGCAGUACAUGAAAAAUCUUUAUUAAACAAAAAUUCCCGCCAAAAAAAAAUCCAAGGCAUUUCAACAGAUUAAAUUUCCGCCCCUACUUGAAUGGAUGGCUCUCACAUGUCUCUGUGUCGUGUCCUUUGUGCGGGCGGAGACCAAAGCAAAGCAACAAAAAAAAACGCCCAACAAUAGUCGCAAAAAGGAUCCUUCUGGACAGAAGUAGGACCAGGAGCAGCAGCAGCAGCAGGAGUUGGAAGCGCUGUUCGGAUCGGAUCGGAUCGUAUAGGAUCAGGCGGCCUAAGCAGAACAAGGGAAAGCACUACAAUACAUACAGAUACAUACAUACAUACAUACAUAUCUGGGGUACAAUAUGUAUAUCUGUGUGUAUGCUGCUGGAUCCAUUAACACAGUUGGCCAACAUCAACACAAUCUGAAAUCCAAAGCGUGACAAAUUCGUAGAAACAAAACCCUGACGGCACUGAGCUGAUGAUCCCCGAGCGGAAGAAUUGCCAUAGCAGCAGAAAAAUCUCUCGCUGAAUUACACUGAAAUUCGUGAAAAUCCCAGACCAAAGUUCCUUCCUCCUCUCGUGCCUUUUCUUGACUCUCAAUUUCUUCAAGUGUGGGGUCGGGCCUUAUCUUACCGAAAGAAGUCGCGCAGAAAAUAAUCAUAAUAUUGAAGGGGGAAUCGUAUUUGUUUAUUUGAUCGCUGCGGGGGCUACCACGGCAUUAGAGGAGGUUUUAAUGUUCUGUACCCUAUGACACACACACUGGGCACCGAAAAACGAUCAAACUCUGCAAUAAAUUCAUAUUUAUUAUUUAUUUUUGUUAGGCAAAUACGCCCCCAACGACAUAUAGAGAGGCUCCGUGGCUCCAAGACUUUCGGACGGGGCUUCUCAUUGAGCAAAUGAAAGGAAUAAGCAGCCGUCGUCCCAGAGAACCCCAACACGAAACCCAAGCGAACGGAAAGCGGAAACGCAAAUAGACGAGCGAUAAAAAGAAAAGAACCAUAAAGAGUGUAGAGAAAAAAAAGAAACAAGAACGGCACAUAAAUUUCAAAUAACUAAUAAUUCAUUGAAAAAGCUGCCCAGGAAUGGAAUGGAGACUUGAAAAAGGGGUGGAGCGGAUCGGAUCGCAUCUAAAGUCUGAAGUGGAGCAGAGAGACCAGAGUGGUGCGCUGUGUGGCGCUGUGCGGUGUGGUGCACAAUAUCAUGUAAUAAUAUUAGCUUAAGCCAACAGCCGACAAGGCAGGCCAGGCAGUAACACACUUCGAUAUCGCCUUCUCCAGAUCCGACAUA